UUUCGGGAUAAGGUACGCCCCUAGUAGGUGAAAGUGUACAACUGGAGCCGAAUGGGGUCGCAGUGAAAAGGUGGCUGCGACUGUUUAACAAAAACACAGCACUCUGCAAACACGUCAAGUGGACGUAUAGGGUGUGACGCCUGCCCGGUGCCGGAAGGUUAAGUGAUGGGGUGCAAGCUCUUGAUCGAAGCCCCGGUAAACGGCGGCCGUAACGAUAACGGUCCUAAGGUAGCGAAAUUCCUUGUCGGGUAAGUUCCGACCUGCACGAAUGGCGUAACGAUGGCCACACUGUCUCCUCCUGAGACUCAGCGAAGUUGAAGUGUUUGUGAUGAUGCAAUCUCCCCGCUGCAAGACGGAAAGACCCCGUGCACCUUUACUGCAACUUUGCAUUGGACUUUGAUGAGAUUUGUGUAGGAUAGCUGGGAGACUUUGAAGUGGGGGCGCUAGCUCUCAUGGAGUCGACGUUGAAAUACCAGCCUGAUGUUAUUGAGGUUCUAACCUGGAUCCGUAAUCCGGAUCGGGGACCGUGCAUGGUGGGCAGUUUGACUGGGGCGGUCUCCUCCCAAAGAGUAACGGAGGAGUGCGACGGUACGCUUAGCGCGGUCGGCUAUCGCGCUGUAUGUGCAAUGGCAAAAGCGUGCUUAACUGCGAGACGGACAUGUCGAGCAGGUGCGAAAGCAGGUCAUAGUGAUCCGGUGGUUCUGUAUGGAAGGGCCAUCGCUCAACGGAUAAAAGGUACGCCGGGGAUAACAGGCUGAUUCCUCCCAAGAGUUCAUAUCGACGGGGGAGUUUGGCACCUCGAUGUCGGCUCAUCACAUCCUGGGGCUGUAGCCGGUCCCAAGGGUAUGGCUGUUCGCCAUUUAAAGUGGUACGUGAGCUGGGUUCAAAACGUCGUGAGACAGUUUGGUCCCUAUCUGCAGUGGGCGUUGGAAGUUUGAGGGGGGCUGCUCCUAGUACGAGAGGACCGGAGUGGACGCAUCUCUGGUGUACCGGUUGUCACGCCAGUGGCAUCGCCGGGUAGCUAAAUGCGGAAAAGAUAAGCGCUGAAAGCAUCUAAGCGCGAAACUUGCCUCAAGAUGAGACUUCCCGGGAACUUGAUUCCCCUAAAGGGUCGCGGAAGACCACCGCGUUGAUAGGUCGGGUGUGUAAGAGCAGCAAUGCUUUGAGCUAACCGAUACUAAUUGCCCGUGAGGCUUGAUCCA
rnacentral:rRNA from 1 species